rnacentral:rRNA from 1 species
UACGGAGGGGGCUAGCGUUGUUCGGAAUUACUGGGCGUAAAGCGCACGUAGGAGGCUUUGUAAGUUAGAGGUGAAAGCCCGGGGCUCAACUCCGGAAUUGCCUUUAAGACUGCAUCGCUAGAAUUGUGGAGAGGUAAGUGGAAUUCCGAGUGUAGAGGUGAAAUUCGUAGAUAUUCGGAAGAACACCAGUGGCGAAGGCGACUUCCUGGACACAUAUUGACGCUGAGGUGCGAAAGCGUGGGGAGCAAACAGG